UACGUAGGGUGCGAGCGUUAAUCGGAAUUACUGGGCGUAAAGCGUGCGCAGGCGGUGAUGUAAGACCGAUGUGAAAUCCCCGGGCUUAACCUGGGAACUGCAUUGGUGACUGCAUCGCUCGAGUAUGGCAGAGGGGGUAGAAUUCCACGUGUAGCAGUGAAAUGCGUAGAGAUGUGGAGGAAUACCGAUGGCGAAGGCAGCCCCCUGGGAUAACACUGACGCUCAUGCACGAAAGCGUGGGAGCAAACAGG
rnacentral:rRNA from 1 species